GUAAUAUACAGAGCCUUUAGAGUUACUGGCUUCAGCUCCAUCACAACAUCCUGACAUGUGUUGGUGGUGUCUUGACUGAACCAUGCUGGUGUACACUGAAUUGGAGAGUCAGGUUAAAAAACCCCAAACAACACAACAAAUGAGCUAACGAAAACCAACUCAAACAAAUGACUUUUCUUGAGAAGCUCUAUUUUAAUGUAUGUUUCACAAACAUAGCACAGAAUGAGGAGCAAAGUUUAUUUUCUCUACAACUUUGUAUCACCUGAAAGUUUUAUAUCUCAGAUUUUUAAGUCUUUCCAUCACUGAUGGCAUUAUAAAAUAUUGGUAUAGUGUAUUUUGGGUUUUUGAAUUAGUUUACUUCGCUUGUUUCUUAAAUGGCAAUCCAGAGAAGAGUUAAAGGAGCACAUGGAAAACUACAGAACUGCUACCACCCUUUUGUUUUUAUUUCGUGAUCAAGUAUUCAAAGCCAGACAUCAGCUGAGUGGCCAUCAAAAAUCCAUCAUGAGGAAACAGCAAACCCACAAAUGAAAGAGAGGAAGAGAAGAAGCCUGAAGAUAAUCCUGUGUUUUUCGACACAAAAGCAACUUGAAAGAAGGAUUCAAGCUAAUUUAAAUGCAGUAUGUACAGUAGAUAUGAUCUGUAUUAUAGCAAAACUUGCUAUUUUGUUUCUUAAUGGCAGAAUAUUUGGUGAUUUGGCACAUUUAUUUAUUUGCUGAUUUACUUACAUAUUUUUAUACAAAAGUUGCUCUUAGAUAGCCUGAACAAAAAUUAAAA